rnacentral:lncRNA from 1 species
AUGGCUUGCCGGGGUCACAUAGCUAGGUUGGAGCUCAGGAAGGUGUAUUUCCCCUGGUCUUACCAGAAGAGUUCUACCAUCUCAAACAUCACUAGAUCCUCUGAGACCCAUCGUUUACCCUCCUUUCUGAUCAGGGCCUAUUGGUCACCAUGUGUGCCCCGGAUACCUCACCUGGGAAUGGCACCUAAUCCUCCUUGUUUGUUCCACUCCCCCCUUCCUUUCUGUCUGUUCCUUCAAGCUAUAAAAGCCCUGGACCCCUUCUCCUCAGGGAGGCCGACCUCCCUUGCACCUGCCGCCCAGCCAUUCGCUCAAUAAAUUCUUCUCUUUUUAGAGAUUCAUCAGAGCCUGGCAAUCUUUUAAGUGGGCAAAUAGAUGCUAUCUCGCUCUCUCCCAACAAGGCCGUCCACGCCCUUGCCUCCAGAAGUGCCAGAGACCCUGACCCGAGUGCCCGGCCUAAAGAAAAGCAGCAAGCUGCAAGAUGGGCGAACCGACACACCAAAUGAGCUAUUUUGGUGACAGGCCACUUAAGAGCCAAAUGCAGAAGAGAAUAACUCCCCAAUGUCUCUAGCCAAAGUCUGAGAGAAAAAACAUACUACAUUUAUAGAAGAAAUGAGGAAGCCUGAAGAAAAAUUUGGGAGGUACAAAGCCUUGCCCCAGCCCCCAACUCCUUGAAGAUUUCAGUGGACCAAACAGAAGCUAAUGACUCCGUGGGGCAGCAACAAAUAGGAAAACAAAGCCAACAAGCUUAACAGGAAGAAGAAAAUGUCAGCCUUUUUUCAUAGGAAAAACAACUGGCUUAGGAACAAAGCUCAAGGAAAAACAUUCGAAUCUCUGGGCUAUAAAGGGGCCUAGACGCCGUAUUCCAGGAAAUCUCCAAACGGCCCAGAUACUUUAGAAGCAUAGGAAAAAGUGAAACUAGACCCCGGUGUUCCCCUCCAGUGAGAAAUCCUAAAGUGGAAACUCCUAGAAGUGGCAUCAUCCCAAUCCAGUGCUGCCCUAGUAAACAGUCAGCAAGAAAAAAUCCAGGCUGUAGGAGCUACCGCUUUAAAGUGGUAGAAUAUGGAAUGGGGUGAAGUAAAACGAUGGAAUUUGAUAUCACCACAGGGAGAAAAAGCGAUUUUGGGUGAAAUAAAAGAUGUUUAAGCAUUCCUGAGAACA